UACGAAGGGGGCUAGCGUUGUUCGGAUUUACUGGGCGUAAAGGGCGCGUAGGCGGUGCGAUAAGUCAGGCGUGAAAGCCCCGGGCUCAACCCGGGAAUAGCGCUUGAUACUGUUGCGCUUGAAUCCAGGAGAGGAUGGCGGAAUUCCCAGUGUAGAGGUGAAAUUCGUAGAUAUUCGGAAGAACACCAGUGGCGAAGGCGGCUCACUGGACCGGCAUUGACGCUGAGGUGCGAAAGCGUGGGGAGCAAACAGG
rnacentral:rRNA from 1 species